AGGGAUCAUUACCGAGUUUACAACUCCCAAACCCAAUGUGAACCAUACCAAACUGUUGCCUCGGCGGGGUCACGCCCCGGGUGCGUCGCAGCCCCGGAACCAGGCGCCCGCCGGAGGGACCAACCAAACUCUUUUCUGUAGUCCCCUCGCGGACGUUAUUUCUUACAGCUCUGAGCAAAAAUUCAAAAUGAAUCAAAACUUUCAACAACGGAUCUCUUGGUUCUGGCAUCGAUGAAGAACGCAGCGAAAUGCGAUAAGUAAUGUGAAUUGCAGAAUUCAGUGAAUCAUCGAAUCUUUGAACGCACAUUGCGCCCGCCAGUAUUCUGGCGGGCAUGCCUGUCCGAGCGUCAUUUCAACCCUCGAACCCCUCCGGGGGGUCGGCGUUGGGGAUCGGGAACCCCUAAGACGGGAUCCCGGCCCCGAAAUACAGUGGCGGUCUCGCCGCAGCCUCUCCUGCGCAGUAGUUUGCACAACUCGCACCGGGAGCGCGGCGCGUCCACGUCCGUAAAACACCCAACUUCUGAAAUGUUGACCUCGGAUCAGGUAGGAAUACCCGCUAAACUUAA
rnacentral:rRNA from 1 species